GGGCGGUAUUCAAAAACAUCAUGA
rnacentral:snoRNA from 1 species